GGAUUUACAGAAUUUGUCCAUCCACUGGUCCGCCAAGACCGCAGCUCCACACACCAGCAGCACGCCAUCCCGCUGGCCUCGAGCUCCAAGGAGAUGCCACACCUUCACUGAUGCCAAGUGUUCAGUGGUAAUUGUGUAUUCACUCCACUUCUCUGAAAACACAAUUUAUGCCUGUACCUGUACGUCAUAGGUAAGGGAUAUAAUUAAUGUCCCACUACUAUAAUAUGAAGGGGCAAUGGUAUUUUCGAAGGCGUUGAGUGACUACACAACUACCCAAUGGACGUGCUCACAUAAUAGCUAGGCGGGCUGCUUCAACACUGCUUCGAACAGCAAUGAAACUAUCUCCGCGAUCACCCCAGCCGGCAGCCGCCCCAGUGUGCGCCAAGACCCGGGCAGGGGCGGAGGUGACGACGAGGUGGUGGUGGUUGUGGUAAAUGACGGUGUAGUGGCGUCUGCUGCUGCGUGGAUCUUUUUAAUCGAGUAAAAUGAACUGGUGAUUUAAGACGAACACCGACGAAACACCGAGGAUGGAAGGACGACAGGUAGUAGAGGAAGCAAUGAAGAGAAAGGUAUCAACCAUAGUCAUCAGCUGGUAUGCCUCCCAUGCAGGAGUAGCAACCCUUCAGGGUGAGCAACCAUCAUAGUAUUCAUCUUUGUUUCUGCCACACCUGGACACCUGGGUAGUCCCCAUGACUGAGAGCAAGGAGUUCUCAAUCAAGAUGAAUACAGCUGGCUUGUGGGAGCAUUGUAACACCUGGUCAGGACCAUAGAGCACCAUGCCUGAAAGAAGCAAUGGCAUUCAGUUUCUUCUGCUCUCCACAUCUCAGAAGAACAGCAACUGGAAAAAAAAACCUUGUUGAUUCAAUUGCUACAAGCUAUUUCUGUAACACUGACUGUAUUCCUAAAUUCCUGAAAAGUUCAUUAAAUAUACUACUGCAGA